UACGAAGGGUGCAAGCGUUACUCGGAAUUACUGGGCGUAAAGCGUGCGUAGGUGGUGAGUUAAGUCUGUCGUGAAAGCCCCGGGCUCAACCUGGGAAUGGCGAUGGAUACUGGCUCGCUAGAGUGCGGUAGAGGAGAGUGGAAUUCCCGGUGUAGCAGUGAAAUGCGUAGAGAUCGGGAGGAACAUCAGUUGCGAAGGCGAAUCUCUGGACAAUUCCUGACACUGAUGCUCGAAAGCUAGGGGAGCAAACGGG
rnacentral:rRNA from 1 species